UGGGGAAUUUUGGACAAUGGGCGAAAGCCUGAUCCAGCAAUGCCGCGUGUGUGAAGAAGGCCUUCGGGUUGUAAAGCACUUUUGUCCGGAAAGAAAUCCUUGGCUCUAAUACAGUCGGGGGAUGACGGUACCGGAAGAAUAAGCACCGGCUAACUACGUGCCAGCAGCCGCGGUAAUACGUAGGGUGCAAGCGUUAAUCGGAAUUACUGGGCGUAAAGCGUGCGCAGGCGGUUUGCUAAGACCGAUGUGAAAUCCCCGGGCUCAACCUGGGAACUGCAUUGGUGACUGGCAGGCUAGAGUAUGGCAGAGGGGGGUAGAAUUCCACGUGUAGCAGUGAAAUGCGUAGAGAUGUGGAGGAAUACCGAUGGCGAAGGCAGCCCCCUGGGCCAAUACUGACGCUCAUGCACGAAAGCGUGGGGAGCAAACAGGAUUAGAUACCCUGGUAGUCCACGCCCUAAACGACGUCAACUAGUUGUUGGGGAUUCAUUUCCUUAGUAACGUAGCUAACGCGUGAAGUUGACCGCCUGGGGAGUACGGUCGCAAGAUUAAAACUUAAAGGAAUUGACGGGGUCAUAGCUGUUUCCU
rnacentral:rRNA from 1 species